GAGUUUGAUCGUGGCUCAGGAUGAACGCUAGCUACAGGCUUAACACAUGCAAGUCGAGGGGCAGCAUGAACUUAGCUUGCUAAGUUUGAUGGCGACCGGCGCACGGGUGAGUAACACGUAUCCAACCUGCCGAUGACUCGGGGAUAGCCUUUCGAAAGAAAGAUUAAUACCCGAUGGCAUAGUUCUUCCGCAUGGUAGGACUAUUAAAGAAUUUCGGUCAUCGAUGGGGAUGCGUUCCAUUAGCUUGUUGGCGGGGUAACGGCCCACCAAGGCAUCGAUGGAUAGGGGUUCUGAGAGGAAGGUCCCCCACAUUGGAACUGAGACACGGUCCAAACUCCUACGGGAGGCAGCAGUGAGGAAUAUUGGUCAAUGGGCGCUAGCCUGAACCAGCCAAGUAGCGUGAAGGAUGACUGCCCUAUGGGUUGUAAACUUCUUUUAUAUGGGAAUAAAGUGCAGUAUGUAUACUGCUUUGCAUGUACCUUAUGAAUAAGGAUCGGCUAACUCCGUGCCAG
rnacentral:rRNA from 1 species